rnacentral:rRNA from 1 species
UACGUAGGGUGCAAGCGUUGUCCGGAAUUAUUGGGCGUAAAGAGCUCGUAGGCGGUCUGUCGCGUCGGCUGUGAAAACCCGGAGCUCAACUCCGGGCCUGCAGUCGAUACGGGCAGACUGGAGUUCGGCAGGGGAGACUGGAAUUCCUGGUGUAGCGGUGGAAUGCGUAGAGAUCCGGAAGAACACCGGUGGCGAAGGCGGUCUGCUGGGGUGAGGCUGACGCUGAGGCGCGACAGCGUGGGGAGCAAACAGG